AAACUCUGUACAGAUCUUCGCCGUUCUGUGCCUUCUAUAAAACAAUCCGCUCCACCAAUGCCUCUCCCCAGUCGCCCCCCUCCCUCCUAUGGCCGCCAAGCCCGUCCGGCCCAGCCAUGAAGCCGGUCUCUACUCCACAUCAGCCAUGGAUUCCCGCGCCCCGCAUCGCCUGUCUGGUGCCUCGCUUCCCGGCGCUGUCCCUGCCCAAGAGCUCCGUGUGGAAGCAGCUUCCUCCCUCCUCCUCCCCAACGGCGCCUCGCACGUCAACGUGCGGUCCCCAUGGAUGAAGACCACCGGCCCAUGCUUGACGGCGUCGCCAAGAGCAAGCCCGCUCCCGCCCCUGGAUCCCUCCUCCGACUUCCUCAAUCCUUCCGGAACAUCUCCCUUGCCGCCGCCGCCUCAUCGGUCAGAUCUCUCUCUCUCUCUCUCUCAGUGUCUGGUGAUGAUUGUUCUGUGAUGCGUGCUCCUACUUGCGCACCGCUGAUAUGUGAGAGAUUUGAGAGUAUAUGGCUGGGAUGAGGAUUACUACUAUGUUGUCGAUGAUCUGAUUUGUGUGAUGCUGUUUGGAUGAAGAAGAAAAUGACAGUGUUGUUGCUGCAAAGAGUUCUAUAGCCAUCAUAUGGCCUAAUUUUUCUGCUGCAUGUUGCUUUUGGCAUAAAAGAUGUUCAACUAUUCAUUGACGGCAUACAUUAAGAGUAAUUUAUGUACUGAUUUGUUCCUUUCUUUUUAUUUUUUACUCUUAACAGAAAUCAUGCUCAUGGAGAGUACAUGUAGAAUAGAGAUUGUAUGGGGAUAAAUAGUUCUGUGAUCAGAGCAUUUGAUUUACAUGCAGAAACAAUAUUCCUUAAUUAUUGAUUUUGUUUCAGCUACCAAAUUUAUAUAACUUUACAAUUUAAAAAAGUGGUUCAAUUCUUCCACUGAACUGAAAAAACUGUGGUAGCAAGAUGACAACAAGGGAAAGAUUUUUUUUUUUUGAUUUGUGUGCAUAGUUUCCGAAGUGCCUUUUUUGCAAUUCUUAAGAUUAGCCAUGCAUAGCUGAUGAUUGUCACUUGUCUGAUCUGUGUGCAUAGUUUUAGAAGUGCCUUCAUUGUAACUCUUAAGAUUAGUCGUAGCUGAUGAUUGUCACUGAAUAAAUUAUUUGUUUGUUUUCCAUGACGUAAAUGUAGAUUGCGUUGUCUUUCUGUAUCACAUCAUCCGAUCUGUCUUGCUGUCUGGCAUUGACAUAAUUGCCUCCAAAUUAACAAGCUAUUAGUUAUUAAUCAUGUGAUGCAUGGCCCUUGACAAGUAUAUGUACACACCCUGUUAGUCCCUAGCUAUAGGAGCAUACCCCGCUCUAUCUGCAUUAUUUGGUUUCGAACAGCAAGCUGCUAGGCUCUGUAAAUUCAUAGAGAAGAUUACUUCUGAUAUUCAAUUAUUACCUUCCCUUACUACCGAGUUGUAGUUCUUUGGCCAAUGUGUAGUCAUCACCUUGUAGCAACUGGACCUGUUUCUGUCUUCCAUCUCUCUGUAAUUUCUUUUCAAUCCAAUGGUAGAGUGUGUGCCAUUAUAGCUAAAUAAGUAAUGUUCAUCUUUUCUGGAAUCAUUGAUCAGUUUAUUAUUCAUCAAUUGAUCCUGUACUUAGCUCGCCUUGCUGUGUACUGGAUAUGUUCAAGAAUUAGAAGAUAAUCAUGAUAAAGCUUUUCAGUAGAAUAAGAGCUUGGUUUUUUGAUUUAGUACACAUUAUUAAUACUUGAUAUAUUUAUAAAUAACUGGAGGGGUUUAGUUAUAUGAAAAUUUCACUUUGUAAGGCUAUUUUUUGCAUUUCGGUUUGGGGCCCAGAAUUCCUGGAGGCAGCCCUAUGGCGUGAAGCCAUUAACUGCGGAUGCGCUCCUUUUCGUGGUUGUGUUGCCACAGCCAGCAUCCCUCCACGUCGAGUCAUGCCAUCACUGGGAAUAGCGCAAGCCGCUGCUGUUCUUCAUGUUGAGCUCGCUCUGCUUCAGGUCAUGAUAGCCAUCCAGGGAAACACUGCCGCCCAUCGUACAUGUUUCCCCAGCAACUAACUCUUGAUCGAACUCCUGGCCAGCUCAACCUCUGGCCACCGCAAUAAGAAUAUAGUAAGAGUUCAAGGUUUUGAAGGUGAAGUGUAUGGUGCCAUUUUCAUGUGGAGCAUUAGAAACUUGUUUUUCAGCAAUGAUUUUUCCAAUGGAGAAGGUGUACACAUCAAGUUCUAUGAUUUCUGGCUCCGCUGGUCCUCUAAGAAAUAUAUCAGUUUGACAGGACUAAUUGUAUUACAUGAUGAUGAGUCAAGGAUUUGAGACAAAAUGGUAGAUUGCUCUUGACUUCUGUCCACUCCCGAGUUAGUUGCAACUUUACAUCAUUAAUUUGCACGCAUCUAAUUUACUGCCACAGUCAUCAUUUCGAUUGCUCCGUUGGACUAGACACCAUUCUUGCCAUGUCUGAAGUGUAAUAAUUUGAAGAUGGAAUGCUGCAAUUUUCAUGCUGUAUAUUUUGUGUAAGUCUACAAAAUGGUUGUAUACGAAUCUGCACUUUUGGACUAAAACCAGUUUUACCUGGUCAUUUUAAGGAUUGGUUCGGAGCUUCUCCGGAGAAAGAAAUCCCACCUGGACUUUUGGUUCUCAAAGACCAGUUUGGAUGUGUUCUUCCUAUAGGACGACUCUGAAUGCAUCAUGAUAUGUUGUAGUUUUUGUUUUAUCCUACAAUGUGGUUUGUGGUUUGGAACUGUAUCCAUCUCAAAAGUUAAUUAUAGCAGUUUUCGAAUACAAGAUUCAUUAUUUGCAUUAAGGAACAUGUACUCCUCCGUAAGUAGUGUUAUGGUAUAGAAUGUGCCAA